GAUGAACGCUGGCGGCGUGCCUAAUACAUGCAAGUCGAGCGAACGGACGCGGAGCUUGCUUUUCUGAUGUUAGCGGCGGACGGGUGAGUAACACGUGUAUAACCUACCUAUAAUACUGGGAUAACUUCGGGACACCGGAGCUAAUAGCGGAGGAUAUUUUGAACCACGUGGGUCAAAGGUGAGAGACGGUGUUUCGGUCACUUAUCGAUGCAUCCGGGCUGCAUGGGCUAGUUGGUAAGGUCACGGCUUACCAAGGCAACGAGUCAUAGCCGACCUGAGAGGGGGAUCGGCGACAUGGGAACGGAGACGCGGUCCAGAGUACUACGGGAGGCAGCAGUAGGGAAUCUGCCGCAAUGGGCGAAAGCCUGACGGAGCAACGCGGCGUGAGUGAUGAAGGUCUUGGGUGCGUAAAACUCUGUUAUGAGGUAAGAACAUAUGUGUAAGUAACUGUGCACUUCUUGACGGUACCUAAUCAGAAAGCCACGGCUAACUACGUG
rnacentral:rRNA from 1 species